rnacentral:rRNA from 1 species
UACGUAGGUGGCAAGCGUUGUCCGGAUUUACUGGGUGUAAAGGGCGUGCAGCCGGGCUGACAAGUCAGAUGUGAAAUCCCGCGGCUCAACCGCGGAACUGCAUCUGAAACUGUCAGUCUUGAGUACCGGAGAGGUCAUCGGAAUUCCUUGUGUAGCGGUGAAAUGCGUAGAUAUAAGGAAGAACACCAGUGGCGAAGGCGGAUGACUGGACGGCAACUGACGGUGAGGCGCGAAAGCGUGGGGAGCAAACAGG